GCUUUUGUCCAGGGACUCAUGGGGUGCUGGUCCCUGAACUGUGGGUGAUGGACAGGUAUAGGCAGUUUUAGGAAGGCCAUAGUCUGGGUUCUGGAGGCCCACCCAGGUGGAGCAGGACCCCUGCCAUGGGGUCUAGAGAGCCCCAUCUAACCCAAGGAAGAAGAGGUAUGUGGGUCAGAAGCCAGGUGGGUGGCACAGGCCAGCCAGACAGGAUCAGGAACGAGGGAAGACGAGGGGGGUGCCCGGCUGCAGGGGCGCUGCACUGGCAUUGUUGCUUUGGGCAUCAAGGCUGAAUCCGAGCCCUGCCCACGGGGCGUUCAGGGUCAACUCAGAUGUGUGGAGGGGGCUGCUCUGCAGCUGAAGGUCACACAGGGUCACUUCUGUCCAGGGAAAGGAAUUCAGGAGCAGACAAUACCCGCCCACCUGCAGCCAGCGUGGCGUCCAGGCGGAGUGGAGCCCACAGAUGCUGGCGGGGGGAUGAGCUCACAGACACCCUCGUUGUCAUGGAGGCUGUGGGGUGUGUGGGUGGGGUUGAGGGGCUCCUGCCAUCCCUUUGCUGCUAGCCAGGCCUUGAUGAGGGGAGGGGAGCUGACUUCCUAGAGAUCGCACCACGUGCCUUCCACCAUUUCUGAACAACCCGCUGAUGAGGCCCAGCCCCGGUGGUCAUAAGAAAUUGGUGCCUGGCGAGACGCCAGUGAUGUCCCACGCGAUCACUUAAGAGGACUCUGCCCGGUCUCCCGAGGCCACCAUGACCCCUGGAGGUAUAAAAUGUGCGUGCAAAGGGCUCACCCAAGCUCUGCCCUUCUGGGGCGAGCACAGCCCCGGCCAGCAAGCACCAUGCGCUUUGGAUGCUUCGGAGGCUCCCCAUGGAGUGUUUUCCAGACACUUUUAAUGUAUUCAAGUUUUAUUUUACAGAAAAGUGGUGGUUAUGUGUGGGCCCAGGGGCUGAGACACUGCUUGCUUGUUUUAUUUUUCCUUGUUUUGAGGCACGUCGUCUGGUUUUUCUAAGGAGCACUGAGAAGGGCUGGAAACCUGAAUUCACAUAACCCCCACCUCGCCGGGUGGUGCCUGUGUG
rnacentral:lncRNA from 1 species